CUCAGGGCUUCCCUAGCAGAGCUAUGAAGGAAGAUUUUGGAGAUCUCUACAUUAAAGACCUUUGAAGAGCAGUCCUGUGGUCUGUGACUCGGUUAAGAAAAAAACACUUGGUCAUCCAGGCAGCGAGAAACGUUGCAGAGGGCUACAACUGCAGUCGCAUUUCAUCUGACGUCUACAUCGGUGAGGUGGGGGGAGGAAAAAAACUUCCUGACGACAAAAGAAGAGCUUGAUUACAGCGAGUGGCCGGCAGAUAAGGCGAACAAUGCUGACCGCAGUGACACACAUCCUCAACGUGAUGCUGUUGUCUGCACAUCCAGCAGAAAAGAGGUCAGGCAGCUGGAUGUUCAUGGAGUUAAAACAGCAGAAGUAAAGCCACCACAAGCAACAAGGAAUGGCCUGGAUCAAGGUGCUCCCCCGUCGUCAUCCUGCACGCUAUCUGAACCGUAUUAGUCAAGCUUGAAAAGACUCCCCUCAUUUCCCACAAGACCCCUGAAGAUGGAUGAGCAGCAGGAAGCCAGACGAAACGCAGGUAAAAAAGAACAAAAGAAAACAG